GAUGAACGCUGGCGGCGUGCCUAAUACAUGCAAGUAGAACGCUGAAGGAGGAGCUUGCUUCUCUGGAUGAGUUGCGAACGGGUGAGUAACGCGUAGGUAACCUGCCUGGUAGCGGGGGAUAACUAUUGGAAACGAUAGCUAAUACCGCAUAAGAGUAGAUGUUGCAUGACAUUUGCUUAAAAGGUGCAAUUGCAUCACUACCAGAUGGACCUGCGUUGUAUUAGCUAGUUGGUGGGGUAACGGCUCACCAAGGCGACGAUACAUAGCCGACCUGAGAGGGUGAUCGGCCACACUGGGACUGAGACACGGCCCAGACUCCUACGGGAGGCAGCAGUAGGGAAUCUUCGGCAAUGGACGGAAGUCUGACCGAGCAACGCCGCGUGAGUGAAGAAGGUUUUCGGAUCGUAAAGCUCUGUUGUAAGAGAAGAACGAGUGUGAGAGUGGAAAGUUCACACUGUGACGGUAUCUUACCAGAAAGGGACGGCUAACUACGUG
rnacentral:rRNA from 1 species